rnacentral:lncRNA from 1 species
GGGACAGCCCCGGUGAAGCGGGGACAAGAAAGGGGAGGGAGGAACCCGCGUAGGACGCGGCGCUCGCGCACCCUAAAGGUUAAAGGGGCGAAGGGGCGGAGCGCUGGUUGCCUAGGAGACCCGCUGCGAGCGGCCCCUGGCGACAGCGGCCGGGGGCGGGGCGCGUCGGGGCGCCGUGACGUCAUGCACGGCCGGCAGCGGGCGGUGCUGGGUUCUGAAGGACGUAGUCUCCCAGCGGCGUCACGUAACUGGCUGCUGUCCGGAAACGCCCAGGCGCCCAUGGGCUAAGCAGCAGGAUCUGUUUUGGGUUGGAAUCCUGCUGAAUGGAAGGAGUGCAGUGUCUCCCUUCCUGGACGAUAUGAGGGAAGAAGAAAACAGAGAAGAUAGUUUUACUGUGACAUGUAACAUCAAAGGUGGCUUCUUGCUGUCUGAACUUGCCCAUGUUUGACUGUGACUCUCCUGCAGGCCAUUCACUUUUCCAGAGACUGCCCUCAUGGUUUCCUAAAAGUGAAUUGUAGAGACAUCUCUACUCUAGGAGGCCACUUGGAAAUCCCCCUACUGGCUGCAGGAAACACUAUGGUCACUUAAACUCUGCCUCUCCAUGCUAAGCUCUCCUAUUACUCUACUAAAGGCGCACUAGCUUGGAGGAGAGCCUUAAGACAAUGCCAGGCCAGAUCUCAUCAAGAAAAUUAGAGAUACCAAGGGAAUACCAAUACCAAUGAAAUCAUGCAAAGAUAGGCACAAAAAAGGACAGAAAUAGUAUGGACCUAACAGAAGCAGAAGAUAU